AAGUGACUUUUGUGCAUUGACAAGUGAAACAUAAAUUUACUCCGAAGAACAAGUUCCUCAAAAAGUUAAUGUCAAGCCCUGCACCAGCUAACUUGCAUUACAUUUGCAAGAACCACGUCUUUCUCUCACUUCAGCCGUGUGGCACGCGUGCCUGCUCACGAUGUGAAGCACGUCUGCGCUAUUCUCUGAAAAGCACUUGACAGGCUUUUGUGCAGUGCCUGAAUUUGUGUAAAUGAUUUUUGUCAAAAAAUAGAAUUCUGGUUUAUCUCAAUCAGUUUCCCAGCUCAUUCAAAAGCGACUUCAAUACUGGUUUUGAAAAUUAGCUCAUCACUAAUAUCUUUAUCCUCUAUGUCUUUCAUGAACUUGUUUUUUCCCCUCAAGGUAAUAAUGGUAAGAUCCCAGCAGGAAGCUAGAAGGCCAGGCAGUGGCAAUGAUGAGCCUUUGAAAAGGAGGAAACCAUGCCUGAAGUACCCAUCUGAAGGAACAAACACUUGUCAUAAAUGUCUCUCAAAACAAUGUCUCUGGCAGAGGAAAGGGUACGCUCAAAAAACCCUGGACAAAAGCUGAAGUGAGUGGUAAAUGGACUGCAUUUUAUAUAGCGCUUUUAACAGACCUAUGGCCAUCCAAAGCGCUUUACAAUUUGCCUCACAUUCACCCAUUCACUCUCUCAUUCAUACACCGACGGCGGUGUGAGCCAUGCAAGGGGCCAUCCAGCUCAUCAGGAGCAGCUGGGGUUAGAUGUCUUGCUCAAAGACACCUCGACACUUGAUCAGGUGGAGCCGGGGAUUAAACCACCAACCUUCCGGUUUGUAGACAACCUACAUGAACCACUGAGCCACUGCCGCCCCAGUGAACGCUGUAAUGUGACACUUCAGAUCUCACAUCAGCAAAGGUCACUUGGCGUCAGUGAGAGAAUGUGAGGUCUGUAAAAGAUGUGAGCAUCCAGUGCUACAAAAUAGGACAGAGCAAAAUCUCAGAGAGUUUGUUUGAAACCGAGGGCUUACCUUUAAGCGCAUGGAAAAGUGAGUCAAAAUGUUCAGAAUGUAAUGCUGUUGAUUUUAAAGUAACGUUUUGUAAUUGCCGUCAUUGAAGGAACACGCCAACAUUUUGGGAAUUUAGCUUAUUCACCGUAUUCCCCAGAGUUAAAUAAGUCCAUACAUAUUUUUCUGUGCCUGC